CAUGCUGUAUCGGUGUGUGCUUUGCAAUUGAGACAGUGCUUGUGAGAAAGAUACGUAUUUUGACCGUGUUUUAGUUAAUUGAAAAUAAUUCAUAAUGGAGAUGUAAAACUUGUGGAAACAAAAUAGGUUUAGCUAAUACACCAUGGCCAACCGCUGAAGGUCACAUAUACCCGUCUGAAUUGUGGAUCGUCAUCUCUGCCAUUUCUGUUAAUAAAAAGAUAAGUGGUAUCAUUUUUAAAGGUCAAAGAUGACGUAAGACAGUUUUGCUUAAAUUGUGAUGUGCGAUUGUUGUUGACUUCCUUUGGUAAGCAUAACUGCUGUUGGUAUGCAGACAGACAACACUGUCCAUUCGACUUGAUUUAUAGAGCUAGGUCGUUUAAACAUUGUUGGCGCUCAAACUUGGGCAAGGCUCCUCAGUUUACAGCGAGGGACACACUUUUUGCCCGCAAGCGUAAACACACUGACAUGGGUCGAUGGUGCGAAAGCGAGUCCGAGUCAGCGUAAACAGUGUUAAAACGCCUUAGCUCUGAAAAUCAAGUUUAAUCGAUAGCGGGUUCGUUCUGUUUUCCAACAGCAGUACUGUUUACCAAAGGCAGAAAGUAAGGUCUUGCAUCAUCUUAUCUCUUUUUUCAGUGUUGCAGUAUAACGUAAACUCUGACAUUUUGUUGCAUAUGGACGUAUUCUAAUUUACCUAUAUAUGCUAAUAUGUGUUUACGUUAUUUAUCCGCAACUUAUUUGGAAAAAUAAUAUAGCACAUGGUCAUUUGGAAUACUACAAUUUAAUCAAUAUAUUUGGACACAAAAUAUUGGCGAUGUAUUCUUUGUCUGUAUCCAAUAUAUGUAGUGGUGGUAUCUCUAACAUAUGUUUGUUUAACAGCUGUCCGUGCAUUGGUCUAAGGGCAGGAACUCUACAUGGGCUCCGAGAAACCAUGACCAACCGCUGAAGGUCACCUAUACCAGACUAAAGUAUGGACCGUCAUCUCUGCCAUUGUUUAUCAUUUUUAAAUGUCAAAGAUGACGUUAGACAGCUGUCCGUGCAUUGGGAUAAGGGCAGGAACUCUACAUGGGUUCCGAUACACCCUGGUCAACCGCUGAAUGUCACCUAUACCAGACUGAAGUAUGGACCGUCAUCUCUUCCAUUGCUGUGAAUACAAAGAUAUGCGAUAUCAUUUUUAAAGGUCAAAGAUGACGUUAGACAGGUAUGCUUAAAGAGAUAAUUGUGAUGUGCGAUUGUUGUUGACUUCCUUUGGUAAGCAUUACUUAGAUAUACGUUGACUUUUUUCAUCUCUGUAAUCAUAAAUGGAGUUUGUGUGAAUACUGUAUAAAAUUAUGAGAGAUUGUUAAUCAAUGGCAUUUUCCUCUUUGAUGUUUUUUUUAAUCUCACCAUUGUAGACAAUUAAAGGUAAACUACAUGGGUGUUUGCAGUUUUCGUGGCAGGUCGAUUGGCCUACGUUAAAAAGUCGAACUUAAUGUCCUGUGGCUGUAAAUAAUAUUAAAAACGUUCAAAGGGCGAACAACUGAAGGGCCUUCAGCGCUUUGAUAUUAUGCCGGUAAAGAACACACUAUUGUAGUAUUUUCACUGCAUCCGAUUUCUCUUUUUCAUUUCCAACUCUGAAGUGGUUUAGGCGCGCCCUUGCCUCAGAACUUACUUUGGUGAACAAGGCCACAUUUCUGUUUAUAAAAUGUCUACCAGUUUGACCAGUUUAUUUUACAUUUUAGAUAAAAUACACUCGAUUAACAAACAAAACAACGCAUACUACUUUAAUCUGAAUAUACUAUCUUAAAGGGGCCUUUUCACGUUUUGGUAAAUUUACAAAAUUAAAAAAAAAGUUUCAGAAUCGCACAUUUUUGUUUUAGUUAAGAUAUUUGUGAGGAAACAGUAAUACUAAACAUUAGCCAUGCUAUUAAAUAUCCAUAAUAUUCAUCUAUUGACGAUUUUACAACCUGAAUAUUAUAAAGCGUUGCAACGCGAAAAGUUUGAAUAAUUUGGAGAGUUCGGUUGUUGUUGUUAUUAUAGUUUGUGAUACUACGAGGAUUGCUUAUAUAUAGUAUAAAAACAUCACUCAUUGUGUGAGCACGGAUAGCCGAGUGGUCUAAGCUGUACACUUUUACUCCAGGGGUCAGUGGUUCGAGCCCAGUUGAGGGUUACUUUUUUCCUUUAAUUUUAUUGUUGUUGUUUUUUACUGGAGCGUUUUAGAUCAAAUGUUAACAUUUAUCAAUAUAAAGCAUUUAAUGACAAACUUCAACACGUGCCAAAAUCUGUGAAAAGGCCCCUUUUUAACGAUUACACGUUUCAGUUUAGAUAGGCAUACACAUUCCUAAAUAUUUCAUGAAACUGAAAAAGCAAAUGUCUCCUCUUGUUAUGCAAGCAAAAUUGUAUGUAAAUAUUUACAACAUUUUGGACAUUGUUACACAUACAAAUAACUAACCAGCUUCAUGUGAUCGUGGGUCGUAUGCCUUAUGCGACCAUCAUAGCUCCAGGCAAGCCUAUGCAAUUGCGCAGCCUGAUCAGGAGCCACCCGGUCCGCUUAUACAAGCACUAAACCUUGUGUGACUUUAUAGCAGACAUGUUAACUCCUGACCAGAUUUAGCACAUGCGCAGGCUCUGGUCUAGAGCUGCGCUGGCCGCAUGCGGCAUAAGGCCAAUUUCGCUUGACACCAAUACGUUAAACUUGAUU